UGCUUCAUUGCUGAAGGUCGGGUCCUUA
rnacentral:sRNA from 1 species